rnacentral:rRNA from 1 species
GAGUAACACGUGGGUAACCUGCCUGUAAGACUGGGAUAACUCCGGGAAACCGGAGCUAAUACCGGAUAGUUCCUUGAACCGCAUGGUUCAAGGAUGAAAGACGGUUUCGGCUGUCACUUACAGAUGGACCCGCGGCGCAUUAGCUAGUUGGUGAGGUAACGGCUCACCAAGGCGACGAUGCGUAGCCGACCUGAGAGGGUGAUCGGCCACACUGGGACUGAGACACGGCCCAGACUCCUACGGGAGGCAGCAGUAGGGAAUCUUCCGCAAUGGACGAAAGUCUGACGGAGCAACGCCGCGUGAGUGAUGAAGGUUUUCGGAUCGUAAAGCUCUGUUGUUAGGGAAGAACAAGUGCAAGAGUAACUGCUUGCACCUUGACGGUACCUAACCAGAAAGCCACGGCUAACUACGUGCCAGCAGCCGCGGUAAUACGUAGGUGGCAAGCGUUGUCCGGAAUUAUUGGGCGUAAAGGGCUCGCAGGCGGUUUCUUAAGUCUGAUGUGAAAGCCCCCGGCUCAACCGGGGAGGGUCAUUGGAAACUGGGAAACUUGAGUGCAGAAGAGGAGAGUGGAAUUCCACGUGUAGCGGUGAAAUGCGUAGAGAUGUGGAGGAACACCAGUGGCGAAGGCGACUCUCUGGUCUGUAACUGACGCUGAGGAGCGAAAGCGUGGGGAGCGAACAGGAUUAGAUACCCUGGUAGUCCACGCCGUAAACGAUGAGUGCUAAGUGUUAGGGGGUUUCCGCCCCUUAGUGCUGCAGCUAACGCAUUAAGCACUCCGCCUGGGGAGUACGGUCGCAAGACUGAAACUCAAAGGAAUUGACGGGGGCCCGCACAAGCGGUGGAGCAUGUGGUUUAAUUCGAAGCAACGCGAAGAACCUUACCAGGUCUUGACAUCCUCUGACAACCCUAGAGAUAGGGCUUUCCCUUCGGGGACAGAGUGACAGGUGGUGCAUGGUNGUCGUCGGCUCGUGUCGUGAGAUGUUGGGUUAAGUCCCGCAACGAGCGCAAGGGUUGAUCUUAGUUGCCAGCAUUUAGUUGGGCACUCUAAGGUGACUGCCGGUGACAAACCGGAGGAAGGUGGGGAUGACGUCAAAUCAUCAUGCCCCUUAUGACCUGGGCUACACACGUGCUACAAUGGACAGAACAAAGGGCUGCGAGACCGCAAGGUUUAGCCAAUCCCACAAAUCUGUUCUCAGUUCGGAUCGCAGUCUGCAACUCGACUGCGUGAAGCUGGAAUCGCUAGUAAUCGCGGAUCAGCAUGCCGCGGUGAAUACG